rnacentral:rRNA from 1 species
GAUGAACGCUGGCGGCGUGCCUAAUACAUGCAAGUCGAGCGAACAGACGGGGAGCUUGCUCCUCUCACGUUAGCGGCGGACGGGGGAUUAACACGUGGAUAACCGACUGAUAAGACGGGGAAAACUCCGGGAAACCGGGGCUAAUACCGGAAAAUAUUUUGAUCCGCAGGGUGCAAUAGUGAAAGACGCUUUUGGUGUCACUUAUCGAUGGAUCCCCGCCGCAUUAGCUAGUUGGUAAGGUAACGGCUUACCAAGGCAACGAUGCGUAGCCGACCUGAGAGGGUGAUCGGCCACACUGGAACUGAGACACGGUCCAGACUCCUACGGGAGGCAGCAGUAGGGAAUCUUCCGCAAUGGGCGAAAGCCUGACGGAGCAACGCCGCGUGAGUGAUGAAGGUCUUCGGAUCGUAAAACUCUGUUAUUAGGGAAGAACAAAUGUGUAAGUAACUAUGGACGUCUUGACGGUACCUAAUCAGAAAGCCACGGCUAACUACGUG